rnacentral:lncRNA from 10 species
UUGCAAGCGAGCACCACCGCGCCCGGCUGUGUUGCUGUUGCUUGUGACGAAGUCCUGUCUUGUGUCUCAUCCCUCACGAUACAUGACUGGGCGAGUGUUUGGGGCUGCCAUCACAAAUCACCACAAAUUUCAGGCUGAAAACAACACCAAUCUAGCACGGGGAAGCUCUCAGCUGUUGGGAAUGGAUCCUGCAGGGCUAAAUUUAAGGUGUGGACAGGCCGGGUGCAGUGGUUCACACCUGUAAGUACUUUGAGAGGGUGAGGUAGGUAGAUGGCUUGCGUCCAGGAGUUUGAGGUCAGCCUGAGCAACAUGGCAAGACCUCGUCUCUACAAAAAAAUUUAAAAAUUAGCUGGGUGUAGUGGCGCAUGCCUGUAAUCCCAGAACUGAGGUGGGAGGACUGUUUGAGCCCGGGAGUUCGAGGCUGCAGUGAGCCUCGAACCCCAGCCUGGGCAACAGAGUAAGACCCUGUCUCAAAAAAUAAAAAAUAAGGUGUGAGCAGAGCUGGAUCCUUCUGGAGGCCCCAGGGCUUAGGGUUAGGGUACCCCCCAACAGUCAACAGAACGGCCCCCACCAGAGAAUGAUCUGGACCCAAAUGUUCACAGGGCCUGGGGGUCGGGGGGAAGAGAUGCUGCAUUGUUUGGAAAAAAAGCAAGUUAGAGGCCGGGCGUGGUGGCUCACGCCUGUAAUCCCG